UCUAGAGUAGCACUCGCAUAUCAAUAAGCGGAGGAAAAGAAACUAACAAGGAUUCCCCUAGUAACGGCGAGUGAAGCGGGAAGAGCUCAAAUUUGAAAUCUUAAAGGGUUUCCCUUUACGAAUUGUAGUUUAAAGAAGUGUUUUUCUGUUGAGGGUUUUGGUAAAAGUUCUUUGGAAUAGGACAUCAUAGAGGGUGAGAAUCCCGUAUUUGACCUUUACUUUCAACUUUGUGAUACACUUUCAAAGAGUCGGAUUGUUUGGGAAUGCAGUCCAAAAUGGGUGGUAAAUUUCAUCUAAAGCUAAAUAUUGGCGAGAGACCGAUAGCGAACAAGUACCGUGAGGGAAAGAUGAAAAGAACUUUGAAAAGAGAGUUAAACAGUACGUGAAAUUGUCAAAAGGGAAGCGUUUGACACCAGUGUUGUUUUUCUGAAAAUCAAUUAAAGAACUGUUUAUGCUAAGCUGUUUAGACUUUAUCAGCUAUCUGUUUAGUUUUUAGGCUUUUCUUUAAUGCACUUUUCAGUUAACAGGUCAACAUCAAUUUCUUUUGCUGUAAAAAAGCUUGAGGAAGGUGGCUUGAGAUUCGUCUUAAGUGUUUAUAGCCUCUUGCCUAUGCAGUCGGAGAGAUUGAGGUCUGCAGCGUAGGUCCUUCGGGGCUAAAUGCAUUUGUGCUAAGUUAUAGCAUUUUAUAGACAACUUGUUGACUAUGAUUUGUCUUGUAGCUUACUCGCUUAUGUUAUUUUACCUACGCUUAGGAUGUUGAGCGCAUGUCUCUCUCU
rnacentral:rRNA from 1 species